GUAGGUGGCAAGCGUUGUCCGGAAUUAUUGGGCGUAAAGCGCGCGCAGGCGGUUCUUUAAGUCUGAUGUGAAAGCCCACGGCUCAACCGUGGAGGGUCAUUGGAAACUGGAGAACUUGAGUACAGAAGAGGAAAGCGGAAUUCCACGUGUAGCGGUGAAAUGCGUAGAGAUGUGGAGGAACACCAGUGGCGAAGGCGGCUUUCUGGUCUGUAACUGACGCUGAGGCGCGAAAGCGUGGGGAGCAAACAGGAUUAGAUACCCUGAUAGUCCACGCCGUAAACGAUGAGUGCUAAGUGUUAGGGGGUUUCCGCCCCUUAGUGCUGCAGCUAACGCAUUAAGCACUCCGCCUGGGAGUACGGCCGCAAGGCUG
rnacentral:rRNA from 1 species